UGGUCCAGGACGUUUUAACACCUGAGACACUGUAAACCAACCUAAAGUUAUAGUUGUAGGUAUUUUAUUUCCCUCUGAGCAAAAUGAAUGAAUACAAUGUCAGUUAGCUUCAUCUUUGGGUGAAACACUUUGGCCUGAUGACACACUUUACAUGGAAAACAGCUCGUUGGUAGAAGAGCGGAGAUGAAGAAUUAGAUGGAUUUUUUAAUGUAAAUCAUCCGUCAGUGGGUUCAGACAGCAGAUCAGAAACAUCACAUCAACUGUUUUCACACAAUAAUCACACAGACAAGAAGUGUUUCGGUACAAUGGCAUUACAACCCCGCAGAUACCUGUUGGAUCAAUGAACCUAAAAGCAUCUAUUGUAAAUAUGUUUCUGUGUUGUGUUUCCUUUAUUUGAACAUUUGCUGCAUUUUCACUAGAACAAAACUAUCAUCACGAAAACACCGAAGGUGAAUGGAAGAAGUGUGCUCAUGAGUAACCGACAGGAAGCUGUUGAAUGUUUGUAGUUUUAGUUUGCUGCCACCUGCAGGACAUCGUGAGAAGUAGUCAGUGUGGUUGGUGUAGUUGCAGGUGUCCUCCAGGUGGAGGCGGUGCAGAAGAAGCAGAAGCAGCUGGUGUGUGAAGGUUUUUCAUGGAAUAAGAAGAGGAAGAUGUAAAGCUAUAAUGUGUGUGAGUGCGCGCGCGCUGAGGAGUGUGAAAAGACCGGGUCCCGCUGUCUCACUCAGGCUGCACUACAGCGUCUAUUCACAGGCGCGAUCCCACUACUGAGCGGCACGGGGCUUUGACCUGCUCCGUUUCCGACCUGGGCCGGUGCACCCCUCCUUAGACGACCUGGUGGCCCCGGGCUCCCCCAGGAGCACCAUAUCGAUACCGAGCUUAGUGUGGACACCCGAUCGGCAUAGUCCGCUGCAGCUCAGAGCUCCUGAGCUCAAACGAUCCGCCAGCCUCAGCCUCCCGGUAGCUUGGAUUACAGGCGCGCGCCACCGCACCCGGCGGCAAACACACACGCUCACAGGGCUUUUGACUUGGACUAACGUGACGUCACCACCUUGGGAAGGUAUGAAACUCCAGUGAUUUUGUGAUGUAUCAGAUCAGUCCGAUCAGCUGCAGCGUCCAAUCAAUAACUGAAAGAAGGGAGACUGAAGCUGUAUCCUCGCUCAUUGCUCCUCAGAGAUCCCUCCUCGCUCCUCGGAGCACAAAUAAGAGACUUAGGAUGGCCUUCAAGAUAGCGGACCAGAGCGACUGCCAGUUCAAGCGAGGAUCGAGGAAAUGACAAAUAAGAGACUUGGGAUGCACCCCAUAUAUGUGUGGGGCACCCAGGUGUGAGCAAUUUGACCUAUUUUCUGGCCUAAUUAAGAGUUUUGUCAAAUGUAAUGUUUUCCUUAAAUAUGUUCAAGAUGAAGCUGAAUAUGUUUAUGUAUUUUCAUGAUGUGUUUUGGACAUCAGUGGUCAUAUUAUGGUUGUUUUGAUAUUAAUUGAUAAGUUUGUCUGUAUGAUGCAGUGGAAGGAGUCAACCAUGUAUAAAAAGAGCAGGGGCGUCCUUCUGUAUGUGUGGUGCUGAGCAGACUGGUGGUAGGAGCAGGUCCAGUUUUCAAAUCACCUUUUAUUUUAGAACAAUAAAUACACCAUCCCACUAGUAGACAAAGUCUCAGGUUUUGGAGCUUAAAAAGUCAUUUCUCAUGUCAGUUUUUGGCCAAACUACACUCACUCAGGAACAGAAUGUGACACUUUUGAAUAGAAAGUAAAUCUUGUCAAUUUAAGUUUACAUAUAUUUAUAUAGCCCAAAAUCACAAAUCUGCCUUCCAGGAUGGACAGACAUGCAAGAGAUGUCAUAUAGUCUAGAAGAAUAAAAAGAGAUAACAUAGUAAAAUUACAAUGUGGAGAAAUAUUGACCAUAUUAGGUCAAUAAAGUGCAAACAGAGUAUGGAUCAGAGAAGACAUUUAGCAGCUUCCAGAUGCAGCCACUGGUAGAAUCUGAACCAUGAAACCUCCUCUGUAUGACAAAGACCUGGAGAGAGGACAGACCACACAUACAACAAGAGGCAAAACUCAUACCACACACACACUUGUUUUGUGUGUGUGUGUGUGUGUGUGUGUGUGUGUGAUGCGCCCCCUUUCUGUCUGUGUCUGCGUGCGCUGGUGUGUGCAGGUGUAUGACGGCUGCUUAUGCUCCAUCUGCGUCUGCUGCUGAUGAGUAAAGCCAUGAAAUAGAUCCAGCUGGAGAUGUGCAGAGGAGACUGAGGCCUCCUGGGAAAUCAUCCACACUUCCACCAGCACCGUGUCAACUUCUUUAGCACCCCAGAGAGCUAUCAAUAAGUGGGUAAUUGAAUUUUAAGCACAAACACGGCCGUCAAAUGAGCGUCGAAGGGGUGUGUGAUGGGGGAUGUUUAGCUGUGUGAACAUGGUGAGGCUGUCAUCUGGCCCAUUGGGAGUUUGCACAGGAAGGAUGAAUGUUUAAUCCAUUAAAUAACAAUUACAGCCUGUAAUGGUCCAGAGUGGCUGGUGGAAGGAGGGGGGGAGGGAGCCAACAUGGCUGAACUGCCCACGUGCCUGAAAAUGAAUUUGCUUCUUCAUGACCCAAAACAUCCUUACAUCACAGUGUUUGAGUAAACAUGUUUACCAUACAGGCUAAAUAAAGCUAUGUGUUUUGGGAGCAAAUUUGGGAAUUUGGGGGGGGGGUUUAACAACCAUGAGGGAAAAUAUGUAUGUUCUACAGUUAAAAACUUACACAUUGUGAGUAUUUUUUGACUUCAUUUAUUUAUUUAUGCUUUGAAACUGCUUUGAAAAUAGAUAAGAUUAGAUAACUUUUUUUUAUUCCCAGUGGGGAAACCAAUUUGGUCACCCAUGCACAAUGACAAAUAACAAGAGAGACACGAAUCAGACAGGUAACCUCAGACAAUAUAUGAAAGACAUGCUGCAACAGUUGUAACACUAACACACAAACUAACACAUAUUCCAAGAAGACAUUAGCUCAGGAACCUGCCUACCACAAAAUUAAAAACAAUGUAAAUUUUUCAGUUAAUAAAUAAAAGGCCAAUCAUAACUGAUGCACCUAAAAACAAAACCACUAAAUUAGGAAAUACAUAUAAAAAGAAAGCUUAAACAUUGUCAAAAAUUCCACCCCUAUCUCAGAAAACAAGCAAAACUGACAUGUCAUGUCAUUUAUAAAUAAGCUAAAUUCAAUGUCCUCCGAACUCAUUUGUACACAAACAAUAUGCUGAUGACGAUCUGACUUAAAUCAAAGGUGAUGCCAAUAUUUUAUUCAGUCAACAAAAAAAACUCACUUGUAAGAACAGCUUGUCAGAGUAAAAAACAGACUCUCUCGAGUCAGAAGUGAACAGAUGUUUGCAGAGAUUACAUUUCCACUCUGACUGUAAAUUAAGCAUGUGGACUGCAUAACAAAAUUAUUUUCUGGCAUCUACAAGUGGGAGGACAGACAGAGAGGAAAACACAGAGUAUUAAUCCCAGGGAAAUCAUGAAAAUAAGGAAAAUGGAAUCAAAUGGUGUCAAAACUCUGUUCAGUGUCAAAAAUAACGCUUUCACGUGAAUCAAAACGUUGGCUGGCUGCUGGAGUUUUAGCAUUUUAUAAGAUUACAGCUAAUUGCAAAGUGUGACCCCUUAGUUUGUGAUUAUUAAUGUCACUUGGAGAAAAAAAUGACACUUACCUAGAAAUCAAACAGAAAAGAGUUCACAAACUCUUCCCUUAAAAUGUAUCACCAAAUAAGUGACAUUCAUGUGUUUACAGAAUUUUUAAAUUAUCAGCAGCCAUGAGUGACUUUUUUUUUUUUUUGACUUGGUAAAAUCGAGUCUUCUCAGUAAAAGACAAGCUGGUGUUAAAUCCACAUCUGAAUCAGACAUGAAACUAAGAAACAUUUGGGGCAUUAAACGAUUAGAAACAUCUAAAGGCCUAAAUGGAGAACUAAAUGUUUGUGUCUUGCAUGUUUACUUGUUUUGCACAUAAAAGCUAUCAUGCUGCUCAAGAUGCAUAAAAUAUAAAUACAAU